AUUGAACGCUGGCGGCAGGCCUAACACAUGCAAGUCGAACGGUAACAGGAAGACGCUUGCUUCUUUGCUGACGAGUGGCGGACGGGUGAGUAAUGUCUGGGAAACUGCCUGAUGGAGGGGGAUAACUACUGGAAACGGUAGCUAAUACCGCAUAACGUCGCAAGACCAAAAAGGGGGACCUUCGGGCCUCUUGCCAUCGGAUGUGCCCAGAUGGGAUUAGCUAGUAGGUGGGGUAACGGCCCACCUAGGCGACGAUCCCUAGCUGGUCUGAGAGGAUGACCAGCCACACUGGAACUGAGACACGGUCCAGACUCCUACGGGAGGCAGCAGUGGGGAAUAUUGCACAAUGGGCGCAAGCCUGAUGCAGCCAUGCCGCGUGUAUGAAGAAGGCCUUCGGGUUGUAAAGUACUUUCAGCGGGGAGGAAGGGAGUAAAGUUAAUACCUUUGCUCAUUGACGUUACCCGCAGAAGAAGCACCGGCUAACUCCGUG
rnacentral:rRNA from 1 species